GACGAACGCUGGCGGCGUGCUUAACACAUGCAAGUCGAACGGAAAGGCCCUGCUUUUGUGGGGUGCUCGAGUGGCGAACGGGUGAGUAACACGUGAGUAACCUGCCCUUGACUUUGGGAUAACUUCAGGAAACUGGGGCUAAUACCGGAUAGGAGCUCCUGCUGCAUGGUGGGGGUUGGAAAGUUUCGGCGGUUGGGGAUGGACUCGCGGCUUAUCAGCUUGUUGGUGGGGUAGUGGCUUACCAAGGCUUUGACGGGUAGCCGGCCUGAGAGGGUGACCGGCCACAUUGGGACUGAGAUACGGCCCAGACUCCUACGGGAGGCAGCAGUGGGGAAUAUUGCACAAUGGGCGGAAGCCUGAUGCAGCAACGCCGCGUGCGGGAUGACGGCCUUCGGGUUGUAAACAGCUUCCGCCUGUGACGAAGCGUGAGUGACGGUAAUGGGUAAAGAAGCACCGGCUAACUACGUG
rnacentral:rRNA from 1 species